rfam:Trichobilharzia regenti genome assembly, scaffold: TRE_scaffold0003838
GUACUGCUGAAGAGUGCCAAACUAGGACGAAACAGCCGUCCAGUAC